rnacentral:rRNA from 1 species
UACGUAGGACGCAAGCGUUAUCCGGAGUUACUGGGCGUAAAGCGCGCGCAGGCGGCCUCGCAAGUCUGAUGUGAAAGCACUCUGCUCAACAGAGUGAUGCCAUUGGAAACUACGAGGCUGGAGUCUGGCAGAGGUAGGCGGAAUUCCGGGUGGAGUGGUGAAAUGCGUAGAGAUCCGGAGGAACACCAGUGGCGAAGGCGGCAUCCUGGACCGACAUUGACGCUGAGGAGCGAAAGCUAGGGGAGCAAACGGG